rnacentral:lncRNA from 1 species
AUGCGCGCGCCCACCGGCCGUGCCGUGUGCAGCGGGCAGCGGCGCGGGGCCAGCGCGUGCGCGGUUGCCGGGGCGACUGGAACACAACAUGGCGGCCUGAGGGGAGCGCCGGGAGUGGGGCCGGGUCGGGCCCGGCCGCUGAUCCGCCAGCCCCGGCACCGGCGGGACGGCGCGGGAGGCACAGUAAGAGGGGAUGAAAGCCCUGGCUCCCUUUCACUGGUAUGUGAAUUUAUGGCCAUGACUAUUUAUGAGCUGAUAAAAGUACAGAAUGGGAUAUUUCAGAGCGAUGGGCAACAAGAAAACAUAAUAAUAAAGUUUCCAGUCUCUUUUUCUUGGAUAUAA